UACGUAGGGGGCGAGCGUUGUCCGGAUUUACUGGGCGUAAAGAGCGCGUAGGCGGUCUGUUAGGUUGGUGGUCAAAGGUGCGGGCUUAACCCGCACAGGUCCGCCAAGACCGAUGGACUGUGAGGGCAGUAGAGGAAGGUGGAAUUCCGGGUGUAGUGGUGAAAUGCGUAGAGAUCCGGAGGAACACCGGCGGCGAAGGCGGCCUUCUGGGCUGACCCUGACGCUGAGGCGCGAAAGCGUGGGGAGCGAACUG
rnacentral:rRNA from 1 species